rnacentral:rRNA from 1 species
GACGUAGGGCGCGAGCGUUGUCCGGAUUUAUUGGGCGUAAAGAGCUCGUAGGCGGCUUGUUGCGUCGACUGUGAAAACCCGCAGCUUAACUGCGGGCCUGCAGUUGAUACGGGCAGGCUAGAGUUCGGUAGGGGAGACUGGAAUUCCCGGUGUAGCGGUGAAAUGCGCAGAUAUCGGGAGGAACACCGGUGGCGAAGGCGGUUCUCUGGGCCUUACCUGACGCUGAGGAGCGAAAGCCAGGGGAGCAAACGGG